CAGUAGCCGCGGUAAUACGUAGGUGGCAAGCGUUGUCCGGAAUUAUUGGGCGUAAAGGGCUCGCAGGCGGUUUCUUAAGUCUGAUGUGAAAGCCCCCGGCUCAACCGGGGAGGGUCAUUGGAAACUGGGAAACUUGAGUGCAGAAGAGGAGAGUGGAAUUCCACGUGUAGCGGUGAAAUGCGUAGAGAUGUGGAGGAACACCAGUGGCGAAGGCGACUCUCUGGUCUGUAACUGACGCUGAGGAGCGAAAGCGUGGGGAGCGAACAGGAUUAGAUACCCCUGUAGUCCCUGUCUCUUAUAU
rnacentral:rRNA from 1 species